CGAGUUUGAUCCUGGCUCAGGAUGAACGCUAGCGGCAGGCCUAACACAUGCAAGUCGAGGGGCAGCACGUCUUCGGAUGGUGGCGACCGGCGCACGGGUGCGUAACGCGUAUGCAACCUACCUCUUACAGUGGGAUAGCCCAGAGAAAUUUGGAUUAAUGCCCCAUAGUAUUAUUGAAUGGCAUCAUUUAAUAAUUAAACAUUUAUGGGUAAAAGAUGGCUAUGCGUUCUAUUAGCUAGUAGGUAAGGUAACGGCUUACCUAGGCAACGAUAGAUAGGGGUCCUGAGAGGGAGAUCCCCCACACUGGUACUGAGACACGGACCAGACUCCUACGGGAGGCAGCAGUGAGGAAUAUUGGACAAUGGGCGAGAGCCUGAUCCAGCCAUGCCGCGUGCAGGAAGACGGUCCUAUGGAUUGUAAACUGCUUUUGUACGGGAAGAAACACCCCCUCGUGAGGGGGCUUGACGGUACCGUAAGAAUAAGGAUCGGCUAACUCCGUG
rnacentral:rRNA from 1 species